rnacentral:other from 1 species
AUUCCCCUGCCAUGCCCGUGUUUGGAAUUGUAUUUUUGAGCCAACAUAGUGAUAAAGGGAGCCGGAUUGAGCUGCCGUGUGCAGGCCUGUGAAAUACAGGAAGCCUAAAGCAGAUUGAGAGGCACCCACCUAGUUAAAAGCUAGGUUCAAAACAUCCUUUCCACACGACAUUUCGGCGGGGGUAAC